rnacentral:rRNA from 1 species
CUUUACUGUAGCCUGGAAUUGGGUUCGGGCUUCGCUUGCGCAGGAUAGGUGGGAGGCACUGAAGUACCCCUUGUGGGGGGUAUGGAGCCAACGGUGAGAUACCACUCUGGCGAGGCUAGGAUUCUAACCUUUACCCGUAAUCCGGGCCAGGCACAGUUUCAGGUGGGCAGUUUGACUGGGGCGGUCGCCUCCUAAAAGGUAACGGAGGCGCGCAAAGGUUCCCUCAAGCUGGUUGGAAAUCAGCUGAAGAGUGUAAAGGCAGAAGGGAGCUUGACUGCAAGAGUGACAACUCAAGCAGGGACGAAAGUCGGCCUUAGUGAUCCGACGGCACUGCAUGGAAGGGCCGUCGCUCAACGGAUAAAAGUUA